UGAUAAUUCGCCCAAAACAAAGCGCAAAAAAGUGACAAAAAUAUUGAAAAAACCCCAGUUAUUCUUCCUAAUGUCUGUCGUUCACUAGCAGACUUUAGAAAGAGUGAAGUGUGACACCAACUUCAAUAAGUGAAGAGGAAGACUGAUGAAAACAGCAGCAGGAAGGAAAAGGAGAAUAAUAAUUUUUUCUUUAUUUAUAAAGUUAUCAGGGCUCAACGUUAACGGUUCCCUGAUUGACCAGGUGGUUGGUUUAGACAUUUUUCACUGUUCUUUUCCACGCUUAAAGGGGUGAUAGAAUCUAAAACCGAUGUUACCUCGUCAUAGUUGAAUAAUGACAGUUUGGAGGUAACUAGGACAUACAGAGAAGCUCAACAUCCCAUUGAC